UACGAGGGGGGCGAGCGUUGUUCGGAAUUAUUGGGCGUAAAGGGUGCGUAGGCGGUUUGGUAAGUCUGAUGUGAAAUCUAUGGGCUCAACUCAUAGUCUGCAUCGGAAACUGCCGGGCUUGAGUAUGGGAGAGGUGAGUGGAAUUCCUGGUGUAGCGGUGAAAUGCGUAGAUAUCAGGAGGAACACCUGUGGCGAAAGCGGCGCACUGGACCACAACUGACGCUGAGGCGCGAAAGCUAGGGGAGCAAACAGG
rnacentral:rRNA from 1 species